CGGGAAUGAAGGAGCCAGGAGCACCAGGAGCUGGGUGAGGUGAGCAGCUGAGGCAUUCCAGAGCAGAGCCAACCUUUGGAAUCCUUGGAUGAAUCAAAGGAAAAGCUGAAUAAGCUGGAAUUUGGAAGGAUUGUCUGUCGAGGGACGUCGGCAGCUCAGCUGGCUCCUCAAAAUUCCACUGCCAAGCUGCCAGGAGAAGCCCAGGAAUGGCGUUUGGGAUUCAGGGAAAAGCCAGCAAAGCUUCCCAAGGCAUCGAGCAG